rnacentral:rRNA from 1 species
AGAGUUUGAUCCUGGCUCAGAACGAACGCUGGCGGCGUGCCUAACACAUGCAAGUCGAACGUGAUCCAGAGCUUGCUCUGGUGAAAGUGGCGCACGGGUGAGUAACGCGUGGAUAACCUACCCUGGUAUCCGGGAUAACAUUCCGAAAGGGGUGCUAAUACCGGAUAAGCCCACGGGCUCUUUGGAGCUUGCGGGAAAAGGUGGCCUCUAUUUAUAAGCUACUGUAUCAGGAUGGGUCCGCGUACCAUUAGCUAGUUGGCGGUGUAACGGACCACCAAGGCGACGAUGGUUAGCUGGUCUGAGAGGAUGAUCAGCCACACUGGAACUGAGACACGGUCCAGACUCCUACGGGAGGCAGCAGUGGGGAAUUUUGCGCAAUGGGGGAAACCCUGACGCAGCAACGCCGCGUGAGUGAUGAAGGCCUUUGGGUCGUAAAGCUCUGUCAGAGGGGAGGAAAUGAUAUAGUGCUAAUACCACUUUAUCUUGACGGUACCCUCAAAGGAAGCACCGGCUAACUCCGUGCCAGCAGCCGCGGUAA